rnacentral:rRNA from 1 species
GCAGUCGACGCUUUGUCUUUAACUGAUAUGACGAGCUUGCUCUGAUUUGAUUUUAUCUGACAAAGAGUGGCGAACGGGUGAGUAACACGUGGGUAACCUACCUCUUAGCAGGGGAUAACAUUUGGAAACAAGUGCUAAUACCGUAUAAUACCAACAACCGCAUGGUUGUUGGUUGAAAGAUGGUUCUGCUAUCACUAAGAGAUGGACCCGCGGUGCAUUAGCUAGUUGGUAAGGUAACGGCUUACCAAGGCAAUGAUGCAUAGCCGAGUUGAGAGACUGAUCGGCCACAAUGGGACUGAGACACGGCCCAUACUCCUACGGGAGGCAGCAGUAGGGAAUCUUCCACAAUGGGCGCAAGCCUGAUGGAGCAACGCCGCGUGUGUGAUGAAGGGUUUCGGCUCGUAAAACACUGUUAUAAGAGAAGAACGGCACUGAGAGUAACUGUUCAGUGUGUGACGGUAUCUUACCAGAAAGGAACGGCUAAAUACGUGCCAGCAGCCGCGGUAAUACGUAUGUUCCAAGCGUUAUCCGGAUUUAUUGGGCGUAAAGCGAGCGCAGACGGUUAUUUAAGUCUGAAGUGAAAGCCCUCAGCUCAACUGAGGAAUGGCUUUGGAAACUGGAUGACUUGAGUGCAGUAGAGGAAAGUGGAACUCCAUGUGUAGCGGUGAAAUGCGUAGAUAUAUGGAAGAACACCAGUGGCGAAGGCGGCUUUCUGGACUGUAACUGACGUUGAGGCUCGAAAGUGUGGGUAGCAAACAGGAUUAGAUACCCUGGUAGUCCACACCGUAAACGAUGAGUGC